rnacentral:rRNA from 1 species
UACGGAGGAUGCGAGCGUUAUCCGGAUUUAUUGGGUUUAAAGGGUGCGCAGGCGGAAUGUCAAGUCAGCGGUAAAAUUGCGGGGCUCAACCCCGUCGAGCCGUUGAAACUGGCAGACUUGAGUUGGCGAGAAGUACGCGGAAUGCGCGGUGUAGCGGUGAAAUGCAUAGAUAUCGCGCAGAACCCCGAUUGCGAAGGCAGCAUACCGGUGCACAACUGACGCUCAGGCACGAAAGCGUGGGUAUCGAACAGG